rnacentral:rRNA from 1 species
UACGAAGGACCCGAGCGUUAUCCGGAUUUAUUGGGCGUAAAGAGCGUGUAGGCGGCCAGGUAGGUCUGCUGUGAAAACUCGAGGCUCAACCUCGAGACGUCGGCGGAAACCAUCUGGCUAGAGUCCGGAAGAGGAGAGUGGAAUUCCUGGUGUAGCGGUGAAAUGCGCAGAUAUCAGGAAGAACACCCGUGGCGAAGGCGGCUCUCUGGGACGGUACUGACGCUGAGACGCGAAAGCGUGGGGAGCGAACAGG